GAAAAGUUCAACUCCAUUCACGGACUGUUUUGGACAACUUAAACAUUUUAGUUUUCAAAACUGUUUUAGGUGCAUGUAGUUCCACUUCUUAGCUUUAAAAUGACUACUUGCACAUCUCCAUACGAUUUUUCUACAAUUUAUGGUGAUUUUUACAAAACUGCCUAUCAUUUCAAACAUCAAUCCGGACCAGUCUGUGAUUAUGGACUUUUUCACACAAGUAAGAAGUCAUUAAAAAUUAUAAUAAAAAUUAUGAACAAACUAGACUCAUUUUCCAAACUCUCAGAAGUUACAGAACUUGAUUUGGACAUUUUAUGAUUUUUCUACAAAUUUUCCAAUAACAGUUACAGAAAAUGUUAUUAACAGAAAAACACUAUAAAUUUCAUUUCACCUUGUAACAUGUUGAGCAAGGUAUACAUCAUUAUGUGAUUAUGUGUUGUUGCAAUAUAUGACAAUUUUGUAUUCUUAUAUAGACAUACAUCAGAAAACAAAUGGAUUUAUACCUCCACAAGUAUGGUAAAUAUAUAAAUGAUAUUACAAGGCUAUAUCCAUUAAAAUAUAAACAUUGGUAAAUUAUGACAAGUAAGGCUUAUGCUCACUACCCACACAAAUAAUUAAUAAACUAUAAUAGGUAUAGUUUAGGGUUAUUUUACAUAACAAACACAUGAUUAAAGGUUUUACACAUACAAAAGAGUUAUUACCACUAUGGAUAAUUAUGAUAAACUAUAAUAAGUAUAGUUAAGCCAUUAUACCCCCACAAACGAACACGCUAGUUAUAAUCGGUAUAGUUAUGGCAUAUAUAUAUUACAAACAAAGUGAUAAACUAUAAUAGGUAUAGUUUAUGUUUCAUCUACCCUAUGAACUUAAUUACAAGAAAGGAAUUCACCAUCACCACCACUUUUGGUAAACUAUAAUAUGCAUAGUUCAUGUUCACUAGUCACUAUCACUAUUUGAUGAACUAUGAUAUGUAUAGGUUAUAUUCACCAUCACCACCACUUUUGGUAAACUAUAAUAUGCAUAGUUCAUGUUCACUAGUCACUAUCACUAUCCGAUGAACUAUGAUAUGUAUAGUUUAUGUUCACAGUCACUAUUACUAUUUCAUACACUACACUAGGGUUUGGUUCCGGUUUUUGGAUUUAAGUCCACAUUAAAUUUUCGCAUUGUUAGACUUCAACUAUAAUCGUUGAGCGUAUAUGCUUGAGUCAUACAAGAAUUUAGUCUGGAUUGGCUUAGAAUUGGUGGUGCCCGCCUCAUCUCCUGUUCCUCGUUGGGUUGUGGACCUAGGGCAGACCCACUAUAUUCAACGUUUUAUCUAACUUAAAUCUUAUAUAACUUAUAUACGCUGGACGAUUAUAGGGGAAAUCUACGGGUCAUUCUAGGGUUCAUUAACACAUCAUAUAGGAAUAUUCUGUUCACACUUAACUAAGAAAAUAUUGGAUUUUCUGGAAAUCAAACUCUAUCGAUUUUACAAGGAAAACGGUUUCUACUUCAAACAAAACUCUUAUGAACUCACCAACUUAAUUGUUGACACUUUUUCAAAACUACUUGUAUUCUCAGGAAAUCAGUGAAACAGGAAAACUUCAGCGCUUUGAGGAUGGGACGUUAAACCGUCAACAAUUUAUUUUUGUCAUCAUAAUGUAAUUGAUUUUGAAACAUGUAAACAUAUACUUUGGUGUAACUUUUUCAAUUAUAUUUAUGAUGGUUGUAUUUACUUUGAGCACUAUUAUACACGUUGUUGUGAUACUAUACAUGAAGUCCUCCACCCCCGGACGUUUCCGCCAUCCUUGGUUUGGGGGUGUGACAGAUUGGUAUCAGAGCAUUGUUUAUAGUGAACUCAGUAUAUCGAACCACGUAAGAUAUACAAACUAUAAAUGCAUUGGGACUAGAGUCUCUGAUUUAAAGUUUUCAAAACAUCUAUGCUUUUAGAAAUAAAUAGUUUCUUAUUAAAAGUAUACAUGCAUGCAUACAUACUAAGGUCAGUAUCAUUCUAGAACAAAACAAAAGUAAUGAUUGUUGAAUAUCACAGGUAAGCUCGGGGAUGUAUGGUCAGUCUUGGGAGUGGCAUAACCUGAUCAACUAUGCUGGUCCGAGGAGUGAUUAGCACAUGCCCAAGAAUGGUUGUGAUAUGGCAACAAGUCUAAAAACUUACCAACACUACCACAAUGAAAUACCAUAGGGGUAUUUUGCGUUAUUAUAAUUACUUAUCUGAGAACUAAAUAGAUUUUUAUCAAUAGGUCAAUAGUUGCGUAGUGGAUACAUUAAAAUUUUAUGUAUCCAGGACGUCAUAGAUUUAGAAUCUGUGGAUCUUUGCUCUACUUCCUGUUCUCGUUGGAUUGGGGAUUUAGAGUUAGGGUCGCUUAUUCGAAGGUCUAUCCUGUCCCGAAUACAUAUAAUUAGCAUGCACUAAACAAUUUGUUGAAGUACCUGAUAAAGAUCAUCGUAUAAUUAACUAAUUAGUGCGUUUGCUUAGUUGUUUCUUAUAUCCCCAUUUCUCGCGAAGAUAUCAUGGCUGGAUUUCCAUCCACACGACGACCCGUACUACCCUAACCACGACAAUACCAAAUGGCUCGGAGAGGAGCCAGAGAAUGAUUACCCAACCCCUGUAGAUGGUCACCAANAGGCUAUGCUGGUUCUGACUCCGACCCUGAAGUGGAGAACCUAUCCCCGACGACCCGUGUUCCAAAUCCCAACCCUCAACCGGCUUUUCAAGGCCCACGCCUCCUUCGAUAGAAUGCAUGGAAACCUGGAGCGAAGAGCAAGACCAACCUAUGCCGUUUAAUGGAGACCGAAGCUUCUACAACAGGAACGAAGGAAGCUCAGCAGAUAGAAUUUUUCCAAUUCUGGUCCGUAGAGUUGCCCGAAACGAGAUUCAGGGCAGAACAACUCUCCAUAGUAUCACAGAGGCUGAUGCAAAGGCAAGAAUACAUACAAUCCACACCGAUCGCCUUGAGCACACUCGUGAAAAGUCCGAGAGAGACCAUGAAACCUUGCUGCAAGCACUGGCUGAAACACGAACCAAAGUCAUAGAACUCCGAGUACGCCAGAGGGUGUACGAAAGGCACAUGCUUGAUAUGGAGCGGCAACUAGCUGAACUGAGGAUUCACCAAAAGGAUGACCGCCGCCAGUAGUUGAUGCCUUACUUUCUUUCCCAAUUAACAAGGAAUCAUUUUUCCUAUCCAUGUACUAUGUGGCAUUCUCUAUGAAACCAUCUUGUACUGUAAGUACUUUGGUUAGGCCUUUAGACGGCCAAAACUCUCUUGCUCCGGAUGUGAUGUAAGACCCUCUACAAAGUCAAUUUUUCCCAAGNUUUUUCCCAACCUGUUACAUCUUAAACAUCAAUGACGUUGUUAGUCGGAUAAAUUCUGUGACACUCUUUGUUCAAAUACUUCCAUAGGAGUCUAUCUGAAACCCACUUUAGUCAAGUUGUUGGACUAAAGUAAUUUAGCUCCGUAAUCAUUCCCAAUUCUCCUUCCAAGGUUGGAUCAUGUUAUUCACCAACCAAUGGAACCCGAUUUUGAAAUGACAAACGUCAUAAGAUCAUUCUCCGAACUUACUCCUACUCUGAUUUAAGACUGCAUCAUAGGGAUGUAGGUCAAACCUUCGAGAACAUACUUCAAUUAGCCAUAAUAAGGACCUAGCCUGGGUCAAGUAUAAGGCUUCACUUGGAUACAAAACCUACUAAACUCAUGAAGUUCAUUCAUAUGGACUUACUUUAUGAAUUACAUAUAAGGCAUUCUUAAAUCGGAGAAUAAUGCAGAAAAAUCUAAUUCUAUAACAACUGACUUGUCUUUGCUAGUAGAAACUUACCAUCUGAUCAUUCUUUUGCUAAUUUAUGACAGAACUAUGCCACCAAGGAAAAGACCCAUACCUUCCGGCAGCACAGCACCACCAUCUCCAACGCCACCUCCUCAGUUUGAUCCCACAAUGUUCCAAGCUACAGUAACAGCAGCCAUGGCAGCUGCAAUGUCACAAAUUGGUACAAAUGGUGCUGGCGGUGCUGGAUCUGGAGCCACAAACUCUAACCACGGUGAUAGUACAGGACGCACAAAGGAGUGCACUUACAAAGACUUCACAAAUGGCAAACCCGAUUCUUUCAAUGGAAGUGGGGGCAUCAUCGCACUAAUUCAAUGGUUCGAGAUAACCGAAGCAAUCUUCGAAAUCUGUGCUUUCCCCGAAGCGAGCAAAGUCAAGUACGCGGCAUUCACCUUCAUCGGAAGAGCUCAUACUUGGUGGAAUGGCAAAGUUAAGUCGCUUACGCUUACAGUGGCUAACUCGUUUAGUUGGGAGGACUUAAAGAAGAUGAUGCUGAAGGAAUAUUGCUCAAGAGGCGAAGUGCAAAAGAUGGAGCAAGAACUGUGGAAUCUCAGAAUGGCAGGCUCCGACCUUACAACUUACACCAACCGAUUAUGUGAUCUAGCACUCCUUUGUCCCGCUAUGGUCACCCCAGAAGACAAAAAGUUGGAGCGAUACCUCUAGGGAUUGUCCCCCGAAAUUCAAGAUAGCGUACUGGCCUCAAGACCAACUACCUUCGACAGCGCCAAAGAGUUGGCACAACAACUCAUCGACCAUCGUGCCGGCCAUGGCACUACGACAACCACGCCAACUUUUGUUGUUCAUGCUGCCACAACCCUCACCACGCCAACUCCCAUGAAACAAUACGCUGGAACCCUUCCGAAAUGCAACAAGUGUAACUUCCAUCACACUGGGGCUUGCCGGAAGAUGCAUUGCAAAAAUUGCGACAGAGAGGGGCACACUGUCCGUUUCUGUAAGGCACCAGCACGACCCAUCAACCAAGUCCCUGGCUUUGGAGUAAGCCCAACAUGUUACAAGUGUGGAGAAACAUGACACUUUAAAAGGGAUUGCCCAAGAACAAGAGAUGUCAGUGGUGGUGGAAGGGUGCUUGCGAUCACCGAAGGAGAGACCACCCCAGAACUGCCCGCAAAUAUCAGUACGUGUUUCUAACAUCGACGUUUAAAUUCUAAAUUUCUUUAUAUGUUAAAUCUAGCAUCGAUUAAAGAAGGCAUAAUAGUAAUGCCAAGGAUUAAACUGAGAGCGUAAACAAUAAGAAAUUUCAAGACCGUCAUGUGUCAUCAGGCGGGUUAUUCCUCACCAUAAUCAAUUUCUUGUACUAUGAAAAGUUUCCCCCAUCUUUCCUCUGAAUUCUUGGAUCCCCACUCGAAAUGCAAAUUUCAGGACGAAAUUCCCUCUAAGGAGGGGAUGAUGUGACCACCGUCAAAUUCUGGUCAAUUCAAAGUCAAAUAAAGUCAACAAGUCAAACCGGUCAACUCAACUAACCCUUGUGUACUAGGGCUUACGUUAUGUAUUUACUAAACAACUCGCUAUUCUAGUGAGAGUUCAUAAAUCAAAAGGUGCGUACAUCUAGAUCUCCUUAACCUAAAACUGUGGUACGUGGCGAGCCAAACCGAUAAAACAAUGUUGCAUACUCAUCGGGAGUAUGCAAGAUCCUUAAACAAGGCUUAACGGGGUUUACAGACCUUGCAUUGCGAAGCCGAACACUCACAUUCGUCAUACACGAAACCGCUCUCAAUCGUUUUCACUCUAUCUCUCUCUAUUGUCAAAUCUCUCCCAAAUCUCUCUAAGUAUGUGAAAUCUCUCCCAAAUAUCUCUUUGUAUAAGAAAUCUCUCCCAGAAUGUCAAAUCUCUCCCAAAUCUCUCUAAGUAUGUGAAAUCUCUCCCAAAUAUCUCUUUGUAUGAGAAAUCUCUCCAAGUAUGUCAAAUCUCUCCCAAAUCUCUCUAAGUAUGUGAAAUCUCUCCCAAAUAUCUCUUUGUAUGAGAAAUCUCUCCAAGUAUGUCAAAUCUCUCCCAAAUCUCUCUAAGUAUGUGAAAUCUCUCCCAAAUAUCUCUUUGUAUGAGAAAUCUCUCCAAGUAUGUCAAAUCUCUCCCAAAUCUCUCUAAGUAUGUNCACUACAAGAAAAAAGGCCUUUUACGACGCGCAAAAUACGACGCUCAUUGAUCUAUGUUACGCAAAUGAGAGUGACAUUAGAAAAAUGUCAUCUCUUCAAAAAAUUUAAGGAUAGAAGACACACAUUAUUGCGCGCCCUUAAAUUAGUGUCUAAAAAAAACACGGAGGGCACCUAUAAUAAAAUGCGGUUCGUCUACGGAUGUCGCUUUAUAUUUUUUAAUGGAACGCGCGUUCNNNNNNNNNNNNNNNNNNNNNNNNNNNNNNNNNNNNNNNNNNNNNNNNNNNNNNNNNNNNNNNNNNNNNNNNNNNNNNNNNNNNNNNNNNNNNNNNNNNNCCAUCCCUAGUCACUUCAUGAGUCAUUUCUCAUUAUUUUCAGCCACUCCCACGUCCUUAGGAAUGGAACAUCCACCCUCUCUCCUCACACUUCAUUCAUUCUCUUAUUUUUCCACCAAGAGCCACACUCCAAACUCUCUCAUCUUUCUCUCUCAAAUUCCAGAACUUCAAGGCAUACUCCAAGACUUUUCUCCUUCAUUUAGUAAGUAUCAUCAUCUUUCUUAUGAUUAUUACACAUCCUCCUACUCAAGAUCAUAGAUUGCUUACACAAACAUCAUCACCUUCUUGCUAGAUCUUCGAAUCUUCAAGUGAUUCUUCAAGUGUUCUCGAGUUGAACACUUCUUCUCUCCAUCAUCCACCUUCUGAAAUCACUCAAGGUGAGUUCAUACCCCUACAUUUUUAUGUUUUCUCAAGUUUUUAGGGGGGAAUACAAGUUAAAACACCAAGAACAUAACUAAACUUUUCUAACAACCUUCAUCAGAAAAGUUCAAUUCCAUUCACGGACUGUUUUGGACAACUUAAAUAUUUUAGUUUUCCAAACUGUUUUAGGUGCAAGUAGUUCCACUUCUUAGCUUUAAAAUGAAUACUUGCACAUCUCCACACGAUUUUUCUAUAAUUUAUGGUGAUUUUUACAAAACAUCCUGUCUUUUCAAACACAAAUCCGGACCAGUCUGGGAAUAUGAGUAUUUUAAUACAAGUUAAAGGCUUCCAAAAAUCAUGAUAAAAAUUAUGAGUAAACUAGACUCAUUUUAGGAACUCUCAGAAUUUACGGAUCUAGUUUUCGACUUCGUAUGAUUUUUCUAAAACAGUGCAGAAAGGUUAAGAAUUAGUUAACAGCUUCUAACUUUCAAAACACUUUGUAACAUGUUGAGCAAAGUGUUAAACAUUUGAUAACUUCAUAUAUUACAUGUAUUUCUUGUUAUGAUAUAUUCAUAUAAUAGGAAAUUACUUACUGAAUUUAUAAGAAUCCUCCAUUAUAAUCAUUAGUACAAAACAAAGCAAGUUAAACAUAGCUAUAUUGUACUAUACUUUUGGACUUAUAUAGAAAGGGUUCUUGUACACCACAAAUAAACAUACUAAACUAUAAUGGGUAUAGUUAGGUUGCAUAUACAUUUCAAACAUAUUGACAAACUAUAAUAGGUAUAGUUUAUGAUCAUUUACAUUAUAUAAGGUUUUCACAUGAAUGGGGUACAUUCCAAAGUACCGGGUUUUCAUAUAAGGGGGUACAUUCCAAAGUACCGGAUUUUUAUACAAAAAGGGUACAGAUACAAAGUACCGGGUUUUAUACAAAAAAGGGUACA
rnacentral:lncRNA from 1 species